UAUGUAGGGUGCGAGCGUUGUCCGGAAUUAUUGGGCGUAAAGGGCGCGUAGGUGGCGGGACAAGCGUGCGGUGAAAGCCUGGGGCUCAACCCCGGGUCGGCCGUGCGAACUGUUUUGCUUGAGCACUGUAGAGGCAGGCGGAAUUCCGGGUGUAGCGGUGGAAUGCGUAGAGAUCCGGAAGAACACCGGUGGCGAAGGCGGCCUGCUGGGCAGUAGCUGACACUGAGGCGCGACAGCGUGGGGAGCAAACAGG
rnacentral:rRNA from 1 species